GACGAACGCUGGCGGCGUGCUUAACACAUGCAAGUCGAACGGAAAGGCCCCUUUGGGGGUACUCGAGUGGCGAACGGGUGAGUAACACGUGAGUAACCUGCCCUUCACUUCGGGAUAACCUCCGGAAACUGGGGCUAAUACCGGAUAGGAAUCCUUGCUGCAUGGUGUGGGUUGGAAAGCUUCGGUGGUUUUGGAUGGACUUGCGGCUCAUUCGCGUGUUGGGGGGGUAGUGGCCUACCAAGGCUUUGACGGGUAGCCGGCCUGAGAGGGCGACCGGCCACAUUGGGACUGAGAAGCGGCCCAGACGCCGACGGGGGGCAGCAGUGGGGAAUAUUGCACAAUGGGCGGAAGCCUGAUGCAGCAAGGCCGCGGGCGGGAUUACGGCCUUCGGGUUGUAAACCGCCUGCAGCAGGGGCGAAGCGUGUGGUGACGGUACCUGCAGAAGAAGCACCGGCUAACUACGUG
rnacentral:rRNA from 1 species